GUCAACGUCGAUCAAUUCAGCGUCAUCAUGAUAUCCGCAUUCAGCAUCUUCAAACAUCUUUGAGAUCUGGAAGGUAUACGUUACAAGAAUUUCUACACGCUGCAGUGAAUCGGGAUCUUCAUGAUUCUAUAUUUUUAAUUUUAAAUAAUAAUCAACGUGAACAGGUGAACUACCAAAUCUUGGCAACAUCGAACAUCUCAACCUCAUUUUGC